CAGUAGAACCACAGUAGUUAGUGAGGGCACCAACUACAAGGACCCUUUUGUUUGUCCCAUCAUCAUGCCCUCUGGCUGCUUUCCUGGUGGACUUUUACAUCUCUUGCAGCCUUGCUGACCUUCCUCUGGACUCAUUGUGCAGCUGUGCAAGAGGAAAAGUACUUAUCAGUCCCCAAACUGGCAUUUUUCUUUGAAGAGAACAAUAAGAUAUAUGACAAAGUUGAGUCAGAUGAAGAACGAAGGAGCUGUUUAAGAGAUGGCGCCAAGGUCACAGUCGAAAGAUGUCUCCGAUGAAGAUUUGGCUGUGCAAAUGAGCAAGCUGCUUGUGAAGAAAGUUCUACCUGAAACAGGUCAGUAAUAUUUACAUAAUUUUGUUCUUCUGAUUUGGGGGGCAGUUUUUUUUUGUGAAAUAGUAUAGAGUUCAGUUUCUUAAGAGUUAUUUAUAGGAAAUCUUAUUUAAAGUUUUACUUAAGUUGGCAAGAACAAAGCUGGAUCCAAACAUUCUUUAGGCUUGGACAAAAUGUUAUGUGGAAUAUCUUGUCUGGUUUUCUGUAACUUUAGAGGUACUUAAAGCUUGUGUGUGUGGAAAUUUUUAAAGCCCAGUUGCAAACUAGCUGCUGAAUAUUUUCUCUAGGUUUUAAUGUCUCUGUGUACUUAUUUCUGUUAGAGCAACUAGGUCUGGUCUGGUCUCCAUGUAUGGAUUUUUGGGAUGGCUUGAGUAUGUUGCAGUGCUGUGUGCUAGUAGAUUGCAAAUAUCUCUGAAUAGCUCAAUGUUUUAAAGAAGAUUUCUGGGUUGGCCUUUUGCUGCUAGGAGAGGCAGACUCAACUGUAGUCAAAGAGACUUCUGCUCUGUGGCUGCUGUUUCAGAUUAAUUUGUGCCUUUUCUUGGUCUACAUAACCAUCUGACAAAAGUCGUACUGAAAACAUGCAUGGUAGAAUGAUGUGAUUCCAUAACACUCACGUUCCUGCUGUUUUUUUCUCAAAUAUUGAAAACAAAUAUUUUGCUAGUGUCUUUAUGUCUCCUACUAGA
rnacentral:lncRNA from 1 species